UGGGGAAUAUUGCACAAUGGGCGCAAGCCUGAUGCAGCCAUGCCGCGUGUGUGAAGAAGGCCUUCGGGUUGUAAAGCACUUUCAGCGAGGAGGAAGGCGUUAAGGUUAAUAACCUUGGCGAUUGACGUUACUCGCAGAAGAAGCACCGGCUAACUCCGUGCCAGCAGCCGCGGUAAUACGGAGGGUGCAAGCGUUAAUCGGAAUUACUGGGCGUAAAGCGCACGCAGGCGGUUUGUUAAGUCAGAUGUGAAAUCCCCGAGCUUAACUUGGGAACUGCAUUUGAAACUGGCAAGCUAGAGUCUUGUAGAGGGGGGUAGAAUUCCAGGUGUAGCGGUGAAAUGCGUAGAGAUCUGGAGGAAUACCGGUGGCGAAGGCGGCCCCCCUGGACAAAGACUGACGCUCAGGUGCGAAAGCGUGGGGCAGCAAACAGGAUUAGAUACCCUGGUAGUCCAGCGCUGUAAACGAUGUCGAUUUGGAGGUUG
rnacentral:rRNA from 1 species